rnacentral:misc_RNA from 1 species
GAUGAAGAACGCAGCGAAAUGCGAUACUUGGUGUGAAUUGCAGAAUCCCGUGAACCAUCGAGUCUUUGAACGCAAGUUGCGCCCGAAGCCAUUAGGCCGAGGGCACGCCUGCCUGGGCGUCACACGUCGUUGCCCCCCCCAUCUACUCCUUCGGGAUUGCGGGGGGCGGAUGAUGGCCUCCCGUGCGCCUAGUCGCGCGGUUGACAUAAAAGCCAAGUCCUCGGCGACGCACGCCACGACAAUCGGUGGUUGCGAAACCUCGGUUGCCCGUCGUGUGCGGUCGUCGCGCAUCGAGGGCUCGAAAAAAUUGCCGGGCUCCGGCUCGGCUUUCAACGCGACCCCAGGUCAGGCGGGGUUACCCGCUGAAUUUAAGCAUAUCAAUAAGCGGAGGA